AACAUGCACAAUGUGUACCUGCUGUAACUGUUGUCUGGAAGGAAGGGGUCAGGGUAAAAUAGACAAAGGCUUGCACAAAAACUGCUUGAAAUACAAAAGGGAAAAUUUGUUUGUAUUUGUUGCACUUGAUUUAAGACAUGGUGGUCUCCUAGUGCCUUUUUCAGAGCUCUGAAAUAAACUUGGCUUGCUUUCUCCCCUCGAUGUCUUUAUUGGUGCCAUGCACACUGGGCAACGAACCUCGCUGUUUGCCUCCUCGGGCCCUUUGAGCUGGCAACAGUUUUGGCGUCCCUGGGUGGGCUCGAGGCUGAAAUUUAGCCUUGCCCGGAUCCCUCCUGGUGGCCGACGGAUUACAGCGACGACCGACGCCCAGCGCGCACCGGUGACUUCAUCGGGGGCCUCGGCGGAGACGUGGUUUGCUCGACCCUGGAGGGCACAACGGUGCAACGCACUUAGACAGUAGAGAAGCAGCUGCGGGCGAUGGUGGGGAACCGGUCCCGUGGAUAGGGCGACGGUGCAGAACCGGACCCUUGGAUAAGAUACACCAAAGAUUCACAGCCUCUUCUGCUGGAUACCCCGGUCCAUUCCCUGCAGCCUGGUGACUCCGUUCUCGUGCGGACCUGAAAGGACAAGCCUCUCCAAGAGAAGUGGAAAGGACCCCACAUCGUCCUGCUUGUUUCCCACACAGCGGCAAAGGUCAAAGGACACAAGAACUGGUUUCAUCACGCUCGACUGAAAGCAGUACCCGCUCCUGAACAGUGGACUGUCCAGCCUGCUAAAAAAACUGCUAACGACAAUUUGGGACUUAAGCUGUUAUUCAAAAGACAGAAGCACUCCUUCUGUUACCUAAUGUUUCAUCCACAUCGGAUGCAGGAUGGGAAGCCAUCCCUGCAAAUAUGGCUAUCAAUACUUAUUAGGCCCUGAAAAUUGCCUUUGCCCGUGAGUUCAAGCUCUCCAACUGUUGGAUAUGUGCCCAGACUCCCCACCAUUCAGCGGGAUUGCCCUGGAGAGUAGUUUCCCAAAAUUGGUCAGACUAUUGUCAAAGGUGAAUGGUUACCAGCAGUAGCACCUCUGACAAUUUAAGUUUGCAAUCUAACUGUACUGCAAAAGCUCCUUAUAGCCUACACAAUGGCUCUUGGAAUUCCCACUAUAGUAGCACUCUUAAGCCCCAGCCUAUUCGUUUACGUUCUCCACCCAUUGGUCUCAUAUGUUAUCAGCAAGCCAGUACAAGUAAUCAUACCUGGUUUGCAGGCAUUAGUAAGUGUAAAUUUUAUAUUGGUCCUGGUAUAAGGCUCACUGUUCCUUUACUAAAUGCCACCGGUUUGCAAACCGGCGCUGCAUUCUUUGCCCUUUCUCCACAAGCCACCCUACGGGACCUACAAGGUACCAAUAAAAAGGCUAGUUAUGGUAAAGCAUUCUGGGUAUAUGGUAAUAGUGCCUAUAAAUGGCUUCCUCGUGGUUGGCAUGGUACCUGUUACAAAGGCUAUCUCGCUCCUCCCCUCCGUGUUCUCACCAAGGCUCCCUCAGGUCGCCCUAGGUACUAUCGGUCCCUAAAAGCUACCAUUAAACCCAUUGGUAAAAAAGACAGGUUUGGAAUAAUAUCCCUCCCUUCCUAUGGGGUGGGACGGCUAACCCAACUCUACAGAAGACUGUCUACAUUUCUCACUCAGUUUGCCAAUGAUACCCUGGCCAUAAAAAAACGCAUAAGUGCUGAGCUGUACCAGCUUCGACUGCUGGCUUUGCAAAACCGCCAGGCCCUAAAUUAUGUGUUAGCUUCAAAAGUAUGUGCCCUUAUUAAAAAAAAUGUUGUACCUAUGUCCCAAAGUUUUCACAAAAUAUUAACAAGUAUAUCUUGUUGGCCAAACAGGCCUUAAAUCAGUAAAAGGCCCGAAAAGGGGAACCCAGUAUUUUAAAUUCCCUUUGGGGUUAAAAUACCUAGUUUAGGGAAACUAGGGGGACUAGGGAAAAGCAUAGUUCGCAUCUUGCUCACAGGUGUGGUAAUAUGUUUUGUCCUUUUCCUUUUGCUCAUUUGUUGUAAAGUGCUCAUAUGUAAAAUAUGUACCUCCCAUUCCCCAAAAGUUCCCUUAUACCCUCUCAUUAAUAAUCCUAAUUGCAUGAAGCUUAAUCGCAUUUUAUCUUUAAAGUAUAAAAAAACUCUAACAAAGAUUUGUUAAGUGUUCUCAAAAAAAAAAUUGUUGGUGUCACUAGGCAUAGCUACGAGGUAACUCGAAAAAGUAAAAAGCCAAAAGUGCCAAUAAAGCUCUUCUGCUCUGGGCCUACCUGAACCACAAAA